rnacentral:rRNA from 1 species
CAUCACUACGCUAGAUGCAUAUCAAUAAGCGGAGGAAAAGAAACUAACAAGGAUUCCCUAGUAACGGCGAGUGAAGCGGGAAGAGCUCAAAUUUGAAAUCUUCAAGGUUUUACCUUGACGAAUUGUAGUUUAAAGAAGUGUUUUCUGUUGAAGUUUCGGUAAAAGUUCUUUGGAAUAGGACAUCAUAGAGGGUGAGAAUCCCGUAUUUGACCAUUAUUUUCAGCUGUGUGAUACACUUUCAAAGAGUCGGAUUGUUUGGAGAAUGCAGUCCAAAAUGGGUGGUAAAUUUCAUCUAAAGCUAAAUAUUGGCGAGAGACCGAUAGCGAACAAGUACCGUGAGGGAAAGAUGAAAAGAACUUUGAAAAGAGAGUUAAACAGUACGUGAAAUUGUCAAAAGGGAAGCGUUUGACACCAGUGUUGUUUUCUCGAAAAUCAAUUAAAAAAGGCCGGAUUUUGUGUUGUAUUGACCUUAAAAGCUUUCUUCACUCUUUUCUUGUCUUUUUUAAUGCACUUUUCGUUUAACAAGUCAACAUCAGUUUCUUUUGUUGUAAAAGGGUCAUUGGAAGGUGGCUUUCUUUUCGGAGAAAGUGUUUAUAGCCUUUGAUCUCUGCAACCGGAGAGACUGAGGUCUGCAGCGUAGACUCUUCGGGGUUAAAUACAUUUGUGCUAAGCUAUAGCUUUUUAUAGACAACUUGUUGACUAUAUUUAGUCUUGUGGCUUACUCGCUUAUGCUAUUUUACCUACGCUUAGGAUGUUGACACACGCGCGUGCUCG